UAACCCUCGCCAACGGCGUAGUAAUACGUCGGGAAGCGGAUUUGGACGUUGCCGGUCGUGAGAUCGGCUCGUCUCGAAAUGCAUUAGCGAAGUGCGAAGCACGUGCGACGUUGAUAAUUGUCUACGCCUCGCGGACUUUGCUCCUCGCUUCCAAUCGUCGUGAGACAAUCAUCAAA
rnacentral:misc_RNA from 1 species